GAUGAACGCUGGCGGCGUGCUUAACACAUGCAAGUCGAACGGAAAGGCUCCUGCUUGCAGGGGUACUCGAGUGGCGAACGGGUGAGUAACACGUGGGUGAUCUGCCCUGCACUUCGGGAUAAGCCUGGGAAACUGGGUCUAAUACCGGAUAGGACCACAUCUUGGAUGGUGUGGUGGAAAGUUUUUCGGUGUGGGAUGAGCUCGGGGCCUAUCAGCUUGUUGGUGGGGUAAUGGCCUACCAAGGCGUCGACGGGUAGCCGGCCUGAGAGGGUGUACGGCCAGAUUGGGCCUAAGAGACGGCGCAGACGCGGACGGGGGACAGAGGGGGGAAGAUUGAUCCAGGGGGACAGCGUGGGUGGAGGAGGCCCGGGGGGGGGAAAGCCGGUUUGGGGGGUAAAAACAGGUGCCGGUUGAUACGCAGCUGAUGUGGGGGUACCUAAAGAAGAAGCACCGGCUAACUUCGUG
rnacentral:rRNA from 1 species